rnacentral:piRNA from 1 species
ACAAACUUGAGAGCCCAUUGUU